ACCGUUCACAAUGAGGAACGUUUUGAACUUUUACAUUACGAUUGCCUUUGCUACGGUUGUGCUUAUUCAGUUGGCAUCGCAACGAGAUGGACCGGCCAUUUGCUCUUGCUGCGCCUCAGCACGUAAAAAUCGAAGCGAGAUCUGGCAGGUAUCCGCAGAAGCCUAUGGCUCCUCCUCCAUCAACAACUCGACAGACGACACGAAGUCCGAAUGUUUAUAAAGGUGGAAGAAGAUGUUGACAUUCAAGUGCUACAUUUGUUGGCGACGGAUGGAGCUCCGCAACUUUGAUUAUUUUUCUUUUCAACACUUCUGUCUGCAAUCAAAUAAAAA